UGCUUUCAUCUCUAGGAUUAGAUUUAAUUUCCUUUUUGACUUCUAACUCCCUAUAUCUUAAAGCAUCAAUGACUAUAGCUUAAGUUAGUUUAUCCCUUGAGUAUUUAUUGCAUUUUUGACAUCUUUAUAUGAGUUAGGUAAUGAGUUUAAAGGAUUACAUCAAGGUCUUCAUCAUCAAAUUUCUUCUCAUUAUGUGCAAGGCUUUUCACUAUGAUACUAAAUUUACUCAAAUUUACCUCUAAGUCCUUCCCCGGGUCCAUCCUAAUGCUAAACAGAUUUUCCAAGAGAUAAAUUUUAUUGGUAGUGUUUUAGUUAAGAACAUAGCAUUAAGGACAGUCCAUAGGGCUCUAGCAGUUAUGGAUUCAUCAAUUUGUCUUACAAUGUUAUCAGACAAAUGUAAAAUUAUGAAACUAUAAGCAAUUUCAUUCAUGUUUUCAAUUUCAUUUGGUUUUGCCUUAAGUUCAGCAGAAAAAGUUUCAGGAUCAUCAAGGGCCUUAGAGACCUUGUGUUGAACCAGAAUGACUCUCAUUUUCUGCUUCCAUAUAGAGUAAUCCCUCUUUCCAUCGAAUUGAGACAAGGUGACCUUCAAACCCAUCAUGGGUUCUAUAAAAGGGUGGCCUAUGGCUCAUGGACAUAAUAUAAUCUUGAAUUAAAGAUCAACUAGUGAGUAGAAAAUGGUUUUGAAAUUUUUUUCAAAAAUCCAAGCAAAUAUAUAUUC
rnacentral:lncRNA from 1 species